rnacentral:rRNA from 1 species
UACGAAGGGGGCUAGCGUUGCUCGGAAUUACUGGGCGUAAAGCGCACGUAGGCGGACUUUUAAGUCGGGGGUGAAAUCCUGGAGCUCAACUCCAGAACUGCCUUCGAAACUGAAAGCCUUGAGUUCGGGAGAGGUGAGUGGAACUGCAAGUGUAGAGGUGAAAGUCGUAGAUAUUCGCAAGAACACCAGUGGCGAAGGCGGCUCACUGGCCCGAUACUGACGCUGAGGUGCGAAAGCGUGGGGAGUAAACAGG